rnacentral:rRNA from 1 species
AUUGAACGCUGGCGGCAUGCCUUACACAUGCAAGUCGGACGGCAGCACGGGAGCAAUCCUGGUGGCGAGUGGCGAACGGGUGAGUAAAGUAUCGGAACGUGCCCAGUCGUGGGGGAUAACGUAGCGAAAGUUACGCUAAUGCCGCAUACGAUCUAUGGAUGAAAGCGGGGGAUCGCAAGACCUCGCGCGAUUGGAGCGGCCGAUAUCAGAUUAGGUAGUUGGUGGGGUAAAGGCUCACCAAGCCGACGAUCUGUAGCUGGUCUGAGAGGACGACCAGCCACACUGGGACUGAGACACGGCCCAGACUCCUACGGGAGGCAGCAGUGGGGAAUUUUGGACAAUGGGCGAAAGCCUGAUCCAGCCAUGCCGCGUGCAGGAUGAAGGCCUUCGGGUUGUAAACUGCUUUUGUACGGAAUGAAAAGGUUUGGCCUAAUAAGCUGAGCUCAUGACGGUACCGUAAGAAUAAGUACCGGCUAACUACGUGCCAGCCGCCGCUGUAAGAC